AGUGAACGCUGGCGGCAGGCCUAAUACAUGCAAGUCGAACGGCAGCACAGUGGAGCUUGCUCCAUGGGUGGCGAGUGGCGGACGGGUGAGGAAUGCAUAGGAAUCUGCCCAGUCGUGGGGGAUAACGUAGGGAAACUUACGCUAAUACCGCAUGCGCCCUUCGGGGGAAAGCCGGGGACCUUCGGGCCUGGCGCGAUUGGAUGAGCCCAUGUUCGAUUAGCUAGUUGGCGGGGUAAAGGCCCACCAAGGCGACGAUCGAUAGCUGGUCUGAGAGGAUGAUCAGCCACACUGGGACUGAGACACGGCCCAGACUCCUACGGGAGGCAGCAGUAGGGAAUAUUGGACAAUGGGCGCAAGCCUGAUCCAGCCAUGCCGCGUGAGUGAAGAAGGCCCUCGGGUUGUAAAGCUCUUUUGUCCGGGAAGAAAAGCAUCGGGCUAAUACCUCGGUGUUCUGACGGUACCGGAAGAAUAAGCACCGGCUAACUUCGUG
rnacentral:rRNA from 1 species